GACGAACGCUGGCGGCGUGCUUAACACAUGCAAGUCGAACGGAAAGGCCCUGCUUUUGUGGGGUGCUCGAGUGGCGAACGGGUGAGUAACACGUGAGUAACCUGCCCUUGACUUUGGGAUAACUUCAGGAAACUGUGGCUAAUACCGGAUAGGAGCUCCUCCUGCGUGGUGGGGGUUGGAAAGUUUCGGCGGUUGGGGAUGGACUCGCGGCUUAUCAGCUUGUUGGUGGGGUAGUGGCUUACCAAGGCUUUGACGGGUAGCCGGCCUGAGAGGGUGACCGGCCACAUUGGGACUGAGAUACGGCCCAGACUCCUACGGGAGGCAGCAGUGGGGAAUAUUGCACAAUGGGCGGAAGCCUGAUGCAGCAACGCCGCGUGCGGGAUGACGGCCUUCGGGUUGUAAACCGCUUUCGCCUGUGACGAAGCGUGAGUGACGGUAAUGGGUAAAGAAGCACCGGCUAACUACGUG
rnacentral:rRNA from 1 species